rnacentral:rRNA from 1 species
UUUGAUCAUGGCUCAGAACGAACGCUGGCGGCGCGCCUAAUACAUGCAAGUCGAGCGAGAAGACGUAGCAAUACGUUUGUAAAGCGGCGAACGGGUGAGGAAUACAUGGGUAACCUACCCUCGAGUGGGGAAUAACUAGCCGAAAGGUUAGCUAAUACCGCGUACGCUCCUUGGACUUCGGUUCAGGGAGGAAAGCGAUACCGUGGGUAUCGCGCUCUUGGAUGGGCUCAUGUCCUAUCAGCUUGUUGGUGAGGUAACGGCUCACCAAGGCUUCGACGGGUAGCUGGUCUGAGAGGACGAUCAGCCACACUGGCACUGCGACACGGGCCAGACUCCUACGGGAGGCAGCAGUAAGGAAUAUUGCGCAAUGGGCGAAAGCCUGACGCAGCGACGCCGCGUGGGGGAUGAAGGUCUUCGGAUUGUAAACCCCUUUCGGGAGGGAAGAUGGAAUGGGGUAACCCAUUCGGACGGUACCUCCAGAAGCAGCCACGGCUAACUUCGUGCCAGCAGCCGCGGUAAUACGAAGGUGGCAAGCGUUGUUCGGAUUUACUGGGCGUACAGGGAGCGUAGGCGGUUCGGUAAGCCCUCUGUGAAAUCUCCAGGCUUAACCUGGAACAGUCGGAGGGGACUGCCGGGCUAGAGGACGGGAGAGGAGCGCGGAAUUCCCGGUGUAGCGGUGAAAUGCGUAGAGAUCGGGAGGAAAGGCCGGUGGCGAAAGCGGCGCUCUGGAACGUUUCUGACGCUGAGCUCGAAAGCGUGGGGAGCAAACAGGAUUAGAUACCCUGGUAGUCCACGCCUUAAACUAUGAAUACUAAGUGUCGGCGGGUUACCGCCGGUGCCGCAGCUACGCAUUAAGUAUUCCGCCUGGGAAGUA